rnacentral:rRNA from 1 species
AUUGAACGCUGGCGGCAUGCUUUACACAUGCAAGUCGAACGGUAACAGGCCUUCGGGUGCUGACGAGUGGCGAACGGGUGAGUAAUGCAUCGGAACGUACCCAGAGGUGGGGGAUAACGCAGCGAAAGCUGUGCUAAUACCGCAUGUGAUCUGAGGAUGAAAGCGGGGGACCGAGCAGCAAUGUUUGGCCUCGCGCCUUUGGAGCGGCCGAUGUCGGAGUAGCUAGUUGGUGGGGUAAAGGCCUACCAAGGCGACGAUCCGUAGCUGGUCUGAGAGGACGACCAGCCACACUGGGACUGAGACACGGCCCAGACUCCUGCGGGAGGCAGCAGUGGGGAAUGUUGGACAAUGGGCGCAAGCCUGAUCCAGCAAUGCCGCGUGCGGGAAGAAGGCCUUCGGGUUGUAAACCGCUUUUGGCAGGAACGAAACGGUGUCCGCUAAUACCGGGCGCUAAUGACGGUACCUGCAGAAUAAGCACCGGCUAACUACGUG